AGUGAACGCUGGCGGUAGGCCUAACACAUGCAAGUCGAACGGCAGCACAGUAAGAGCUUGCUCUUACGGGUGGCGAGUGGCGGACGGGUGAGGAAUACAGCGGAAUCUACUUUUUCGUGGGGGAUAACGUAGGGAAACUUACGCUAAUACCGCAAACGACCUACGGGUGAAAGCAGGGGAUCUUCGGACCUUGCGCGAGUGAAUGAGCCGAUGUCGGAUUAGCUAGUUGGCGGGGUAAAGGCCCACCAAGGCGACGAUCCGUAGCUGGUCUGAGAGGAUGACCAGCCACACUGGAACUGAGACACGGUCCAGACUCCUACGGGAGGCAGCAGUGGGGAAUAUUGGACAAUGGGCGCAAGCCUGAUCCAGCCAUACCGCGUGGGUGAAGAAGGCCUUCGGGUUGUAAAGCCCUUUUGUUGGGAAAGAAAAGCAGAAGGUUAAUACCCCGCUGUUCUGACGGUACCCAAAGAAUAAGCACCGGCUAACUUCGUG
rnacentral:rRNA from 1 species